AGAAUUGGGCGAGGCCUUUGCGCUUGCGCACCGUAGAAAUUGUUGCCGGCACCACCCGACCCGAGCAGCCACCGAGCACCCAGCAAGAACCUCUCUGUCUCUCUAGGCUUUGGCGUCCUCACUACCACUUGAAAUAUCGGUGGGCACGGCCACUCCAGUGUUCCACUGCUCCGGGCUGUGAUUUGGUGCGACUUGGUGGUGGCGGCGGGGUGUGCGUCUUGGCUUCUGCUUUCUUUCUCGCUUCCUUGGAGGAUUCGGACCCGUUGGAAUUCCGGAGCUUGCUGGCCAUGGUCAAAGGGUUCGGGGAUGGAUUGAGGCGCGGGGGAAGAGGAGGGUAGCUUCCUCUUCUUCGGUGAUCGGCUCUGGUUCGUGGAUCGUGAGAGCAGAGCAAUCAUGGCGGCGGGUGGGUACUGACUCACAGGGUGUGCUGAUCUUUGCAAUCGGAUCAGAAAGACCACUCUAUUCUCUGAUGUCAUCAUAAGUGAAGCCCUCUCUGAUGAAAAGCUGGUAUCUUGGAGUACUGGUUAAUGGAUGGUAGCAUAUUCUCUUCUGUGUGAUUAGGCUUGAUUAUGGAUUGAUGCUCCCGAUCACUUACGUCCUCUGAUCAUCCAGAAGAUACCAUCUGGCAGCUAGCAUUUCUCUAUUGGAAUUAUCACCCUUCAUAAGAAAUAGGGCAAAUCUCCUUUGGCAAACAUAGUUCAGAGUUCAUCUCUUUGUCGGUUUAUCCGAGCUUGUUCCUAUGAUUGAAUGAAAUAUCAGCAGCAAGAUACUUCUAAAUGAUCUCCCUUAGAAAAUCCUCAUUUAUUUUGGUGGAAGUUUCAGAAGGUUUUGUUCCUGGUCAGGUUUCCUCUCAUGUGUAUCAGCUGAUUUGCUGGGCAAAUCUCCUUUGGCAUUAUUUACUUACUGGUUCUUUUGGGCAAAUCUCCUUUGGCAUUGGCUGCUCCAGAUCUCUCUGUGGGCAAAUCUCCUUUGGCACUAGUUCUAGUUUUAGCUUUAGUUUCGGACUGCUCUUUGGGCAAAUCUCCUUUGGCACAAAGUACUACCUCUCUUAUCUACUAUUUUGGGUAAAUCUCCUCCAGCUGUGAGUAGCAGCAGCUCUAUCAGGGUAAUUCUCCUUUGGCAUUAUCAGUCAUAAAUUCUACCAAAAUAUCAAGAAGUACUUCUGGAAGGUGGAAGGAAUACUUGGCCAACUGUGUUGGUAUAUUGCCAUUCCAAACAUCAACUUGCUUAUUGUUGUUUGUUUUUGAGAUUACCACGUUAUCCAUACAGUACACACCUUAUUCUAAGAAGGACUUGGAAUCAUGGAUUUGUUUGCAAUUGACUCGGAUAGUGAGUCAUAUAGUGGGACCAGUGACAGCGAAGACCAAGAAGAAUGUGAAUUUACGUACAGUGACCAUGCCCAAAGUAUCUUGUCCAGCCUGGACGAGAGCAUUGGCAAGAUCGAUAAUUUUCUGACUUUUGAAAGGGGGUUUCUGCAUGGGGAUAUAGUCUGCCCUGUUUCCGACCCCUCAGGUCAGCUGGGACGUGUUGUUGGCGUUGCGAUGUUUGUUGACUUGGAGACAAGCUCUGGUGACAUAAUUAAAGAUGUAAACAGCAAAAAGCUAUCAAGAGUGAGAUCCUUCAUUUCUGGAGACUGCGUCGUAAUGGGACCAUGGAUUGGGCGGGUGAUCAGAGCAUUUGACCUUGUUACUGUUUUGUUCAGUGACGGGGCGAAGUGUGAAAUGCUGUUAAGGGAUUCUGAGGCACUGAAGCCCAUUCCACCUAUUCUUUUUGAAGAUGCACCUUAUUUUUACUAUCCCGGCCAACGUGUGAGGAUUGUUGAACCCUCGGUUUACCAGUCAGCAACAUGGUUGUGUGGAUCAUGGAGGCCAGGUAGAGAUGACGGUGUUGUUUCUCAUGUAGAUGUUGGGAUGGUGCAUGUGAACUGGAUCACAUCUGUGACAAAUGUCUGGGGAGAUAAAUCAUCAAGUCCUCCAAACAUUCAGGAUCCAAAGAAACUCACUUUGCUGUCAUGCUUCCCUUAUGCUAAUUGGCAACUGGGUGAUUGGUGUGCUCUUACGGUUGACGACCAUGGAUGUCUGUGGAUGGAUUCUGGGAAGUCUUGCAUUGUUAGUGAAGCCUGGAAGUGCGACUCUCCUGGGCACAUGCAUUUGGAAAAUUGUAGUUCAGGUUAUUCUCAAACAUAUGUUGUCUCCAAGACAAAGAGUACUGUUGAUAUUCUAUGGCAAAAUGGAAGCAUAUCUCUUGGUCUGGAACCCCAGACACUGGUUCCUGUGAGUACCCUUGGUGAUUAUGAUUUUUGGCCAGGGCAAUUUGUCCUAGAGAAACUGGCUGUUGAGGAUUCUGCAAGGCGUCAACGAACUGGGAUAGUGAGAGAUGUGGAUGCACUCGAGCGAACAGUAAAUGUAUUAUGGAUUAGUCCUGCAGGCAGUGACACUGUCAGCUAUGGAAGAAGUGGCUCUACAGUGGAGACUGUGAGUGCUUACGAGCUGGCAGAGCACCCAGAUUUCUCCUUCUGCACUGGUGAGGUCGUUAUCAUGUCAGCUGUGAACAUAGAGAAGUCUGAAGCAGAUCUCACAAAUGGGUCAUUAGCAAGCAGGGAAUCAUUGGUUACCCACUCUGACUUCUUAUCAUGCAUUGGAAAUGUGCUUGGCUACAAGGAUGACGGAAUUGAAGUCCAGUGGGCUAAUGGUGUGAUAUCCAAGGUGCAGCAUUUUGAAAUAAUUGGAUUGGAUAAACUUCUCGAUAGUUCACUAGAAUCGAUGCAUGAGGAAAAUACAGCCGGUGAUUCAGUAGACGUGGAUGAGCAGGAGGAAAUGCAUCAUGAGAAUGCUAACAUUGCUCUGGAAUCUACUGACUGCACUGGUUCCUUGUGCAAAGUCACUGCCUUUCUUUUUCCCAAGACAGCUUUUGAUUUCCUGACAAAUGUGGCUUCUAGUUUGUUUGGUACUCAUGGUUCUCCAUCGCCAAGCUCAGUUGUGAUAGAUACUCAAUAUCAAAUUAUUAAGACGGUAGAAAUGCAGACAUCUGCAGACGAAUUGCCAGAGGAAAAACAGGUAGUGGAGUUGGUGGCAAAGAUUGAGAAACCAAAUCUCACUUCAGAAGAUAACAUAUCAAAAAGAUUUGAUGUAGUGACUGACUGUUCGGAUCAUCACUUUGUGAAGGAAAGUGGCCACGAAAGUGUUACAAGAAGUUGGGUGAAGAAGGUGCAACAAGAAUGGAUGAUCCUGCAAAAUGAUUUACCAGAUGGUAUUCAUGUAAGAGUUUUUGAGGAAAGGAUGGAUCUUCUUAGGGCUUGCAUUGUUGGGGCAGCUGGAACACCUUAUCAUGAUAAUCUUUUUUUCUUUGAUAUUUUCUUUCCUCCUGACUAUCCCCAUGAACCACCUUCUGCUCACUACCACUCUGGUGGUCUCCGCCUGAACCCAAAUUUGUAUGAGUCGGGAAAAGUAUGUCUCAGCCUUCUCAAGACAUGGACAGGAACCGGUAACGAAGUGUGGAAUCCAGAGAACUCAACUGUUCUUCAACUGCUGUUGUCCCUUCAGGCCCUUGUUCUCAAUGAAAAACCUUAUUUCAAUGAAGCGGGCUAUGACAAAUUUUUGGGGAAGGCUGAUGGAGAGAAGAACUCUAUCACUUACAAUGAGAAUGCUUUCCUGCUGUCAUGCAAGUCCAUGAUGUAUGUUUUACACAAACCACCAAAGGUAUGCCAUCAGCUCUGAAGUUUUCGUACUGAAUAGUCUCUGACAACUUAUUACUUUUUAUGCAUCUACGUCAAUGGUUCACAUGGUUCAACUGAACUCGUAAGUCUUGAUCAAUUAGAAAAAGUAAAUGAUGCUUCUGAAGUUCGAAAACUGACAUUUUGAGAAGUUGGUCAAGGAGCAUUUCGCUUGUCGCGCCCGACGCAUUCUGGAUGCCUGCGAGGCUUAUCUUGGCGGUGAUCUCGUAGGACAUGCACACGACAAAGCAUACAUAUCAGAGGACGGCAGCAAGAACUGUUCGACCGGUUUCAAGAUAAUGCUUGGCAAGCUUCUGCCGAAGCUUGCCGCUGCCUUCUCUGAAGCUGGGAUCAUCAGCGGCCAGUAAACUGGGACCCUUUAUCAGUGAUUAUUGUGUGUAUUUUGAUGCUUGUGUAUUCCAAAUAAAAUGCUACCUGGUUCAUGCGUUAGUUAUGUUUGUCUUGUAAAUAAGGAACAGUAUAUAUAUACCCACGAUUGCUGAACUGAAAUGUUGCUAAGCUAAAGGCAGCUCAAGUGUGGAGUGCCUGGAUUUGGGUUGUAUUCUAUGUUAAGUGUGAAGGGUAUGUAAAUGUGUGUUCUUGAAAGGUUUGCCUAAAGUAUUGAAAGUGCAGUUGUAUA